rnacentral:rRNA from 1 species
AACGAACGCUGGCGGCAUGCCUAACACAUGCAAGUCGAACGAGACCUUCGGGUCUAGUGGCGCACGGGUGCGUAACGCGUGGGAACCUGCCCUUAGGUUCGGAAUAACUCCCCGAAAGGGGUGCUAAUACCGGAUAAUGUCUUCGGACCAAAGAUUUAUCGCCUUUGGAUGGGCCCGCGUUGGAUUAGCUAGUUGGUAGGGUAAAAGCCUACCAAGGCGACGAUCCAUAGAUGGUCUGAGAGGAUGAUCAGCCACACUGAGACUGAGACACGGCCCAGACUCCUACGGGAGGCAGCAGUGGGGAAUAUUGGACAAUGGGCGAAAGCCUGAUCCAGCAAUGCCGCGUGAGUGAUGAAGGCCUUAGGGUUGUAAAGCUCUUUUACCCGGGAUGAUAAUGACAGUACCGGGAGAAUAAGCUCCGGCUAACUCCGUG